AACAGGAUUAGAUACCCUGGUAGUCCACGCUGUAAACGAUGUCGACUUGGAGGUUGUGCCCUUGAGGCGUGGCUUCCGGAGCUAACGCGUUAAGUCGACCGCCUGGGGAGUACGGCCGCAAGGUUAAAACUCAAAUGAAUUGACGGGGGCCCGCACAAGCGGUGGAGCAUGUGGUUUAAUUCGAUGCAAUGCGAAGAACCUUACCUACUCUUGACAUCCAGAGAAUUUGCUAGAGAUAGCUUAGUGCCUUCGGGAACUCUGAGACAGGUGCUGCAUGGCUGUCGUCAGCUCGUGUUGUGAAAUGUUGGGUUAAGUCCCGCAACGAGCGCAACCCUUAUCCUUUGUUGCCAGCGAGUAAUGUCGGGAACUCAAAGGAGACUGCCGGUGAUAAACCGGAGGAAGGUGGGGAUGACGUCAAGUCAUCAUGGCCCUUACGAGUAGGGCUACACACGUGCUACAAUGGCAUAUACAAAGAGAAGCGAACUCGCGAGAGCAAGCGGACCUCAUAAAGUAUGUCGUAGUCCGGAUUGGAGUCUGCAACUCGACUCCAUGAAGUCGGAAUCGCUAGUAAUCGUAGAUCAGAAUGCUACGGUGAAUACGUUCCCGGGCCUUGUACACAUCGCCCGUCACACCAUGGGAGUGGGUUGCAAAAGAAGUAGGUAGCUUAACCUUCGGGAGGGCGCUUACCACUUUGUGAUUCAUGACUGGGGUGAAGUCGUAACAAGGUAACC
rnacentral:rRNA from 1 species